AGUGCCAUGAUCAUAACUUACUACAGCCUCAAACUCUUGGGCUCAAUCGAUCCUCCUGCCUCAGCCUCACAAAUAGACAUGCAGCACCAUGCUGGGCUUAGGAGAAAAGUGUCUAAAUUGGGAGCAAAGGUGGCAACGACGUGGACUUGACUCCAAAAAAAUUUUUUUUAAAGACAAGAAACAAGUGCCUCUGCAUUUCAGGGGGUCAGGAUUGGCAUUUUUAAAAUGUCAACAAAUAAAUGUUCAUAACCACACUUGACAUUUUUUCCAAGGAGAAUUUUAAUUGUAUAAUUGCUGGUAAAUUCAUGCAACCAACAUGGAGGGCACACGGACGAGAUCUAUGAGCAUUACAAAUGCACUUACCUUUGACCCAGCAAUUCUAUCUCUAGGAAUCUAUCCUAAAGAUGCUCCAGAACAUCUAGAAACAAUAUACGCUGAAGGUUAGUCAUUGCAGUCCUGCUUGUGAUGAUGAAUGCUUGGGAGCAGCCUGAAUAGCACUAACUGAGGAACGGUGAAAUACAUUUUGGAACCUCCACGCAGUGGAGUACUAUGCAGUCAUAAAAAGCAAUAAGGAGUUUUUUAUGGUACUGAAUGUUAAUAAGUGAAAAAAUAAGCUAAUGGUCAUAUGCUCUGCAAUGCCACUUGUAAAAAAGGGGGAAGUUAUAUGUUAUUUGCUUGUAGUUUUUGUAUGUAUAGAACAUCUCUGGAAGAAUGAAUAAGAAAUUAGUAUCUGCAAUUGCCUCUGAGGAAGAAACCUGGGGGAAGAAGAUAUAUUUUUCACUGUAUGCCCUUUUAUACACUUAGUACUGUGUAUACUUAUUUUUGAAAAGAAAGAGUGUACAAGUUGGUACUUUUCUGGUCUCCCUGGUGAAGUGCCCCUGGGUAAAGACGUUGUGUGCCCUUGUAAGACCAGAAGAUUAAGAUCUCAAUUGCUGUUUAAUUCAAAACUGUUUUCUCUGCUUGGAGAGCUGGUGGAGAAAAUGAAACAAUGAAAACCAAAGAUGCAGAGUGCAAUCCUGUGAGACGCUUCCCAGUGCGGCCUUACUGGCUCAAGCCCCCAUUCCUUGCUCUAUGUGAACACAGAUGUAUUUAAAAACACAUCAUAGGAUCAAUCUCGUAGCCUGCUGGGUAGAAAAAAGGUGCUCCAAAAUGCUUCCCAUUUGAUAGUUGUUUGUUUGUUGCUAAUUCAUUUUGCUAACGCCAAGACUCAGAGAGGCCAGUGUUUUUUAUUAUAGUUAGUUGCCAGAAUGAGUAAAUGAGCUUAUUACUUUUAGAUGAAGAAAGAAACUAUUUAAAAAUUACUUUUCAAACUACAUGUGACAAAGCCCAGGACAAAUGAACAGAUUUAAUUACAUAAAAUUAGUCAUUCGCAAGAAACAACACCACAAGCAUAAAUUUACACCAUUGUUUGGUGGAAUAGUUUGAGACAUUAAAGUAAGGAAAGUGAAAAAUUCCCGUAAUUAUUACAACAAACAAACAGCAAAUCAACCCAACAAGAACACAAUAUCCUUAUAUUAGGGCAAGAGAACUUAUUGAAACUCAGAACACAUGUAUAAACUCAUAGAACUUUCUAGAAAUUGUCAUAGAAUGAUGCAAUAUAUUCAAAUACAAAUAAAAUAUCCCCAACUACAAACUACACACAGAACAUUAAAUUAUUGAAAAAGCAGUCCAUUUUCUACAUGAAAGAAACUCACUAUAUUAAUUACUGCAAUACAUUACAUUUUACCUUUCUUACAAAGGUAAAAGUAAGUUAGGCUGUAUCUUAAUGGAUAAACAUAUCCUGUAGAAGAGAGAAACUUUUUCCUCUGUGCCAUUUUGUACUUGUAAUUUAAUGACGUGAAAUAUGUAAGUAAAUCUCAAACUGCCCAUCCUUGCAUUGUAGCUGAGUACUCACAUUCCAUGGGGUGGUCUUGUCCUUGACUCUUGGAGGGGCAAGUUCAAGCGGCUACCAUGCACAGAAGGGGAAGAUGAUGAAAGGAGAACUCCGUCUCCUAGGGAAGGAUCAGUCCUACUGCGGUUGAGCUGCACUGAGUUUCCAGAGUGGGGAGUAAUGUGAUCUUCCAACAAUCUUAGGGCAGCACCAAACAGAAACUUAGUAAGUGGAUGACUUUGCUUUCAUGCAGUUAAUCGGAGGAUCCGAUAUGCUGUGUCUUCUGUUGCAUCAGAACAGAAAGCACUUCCCAGCUUUGACUUGUUAAGAAGUUCUAAAUAAAAACAAUUUUUUAAAACGUGCUGGUAUUAAGGAAUCUCCAGCUCUCCCAGGUCCCAUCAUGAACUGAGGUGGCCAGAAGCUCUUCUUGAGGCUGGCUCUCAGCUUAGAGCUUGGAUGGCUAUUGAAUUCCCCUGUGUUCGGCACCUGUUGCAGGCGUGGUAGAUGGCCAGGUGUGCAGAGAUCUGUCAUCAUAGGGCCAGGAAACUCCAUGGUCAAGAGUCACCAGCUUCCUCUGGACAGUCUCCCAGAUGAGGAAACCCAGACAGGAAGGAAGUGACACCCCCAGGGUGACACACCUGAGGGGCCUCGGGCUUUCCCUGAGGGGUCAGUGGGCAUUGGGCUCCUGUGCCGGGUGGUGAGAAAUGGCUCUUCUCUUUCCCAGAGUCACAGACCCCAUUGGAGUUGAGGUAGGCUUAAUUGGAAAGUGCUAGAGUAAGUGUCUGGGGGUAAAGUUUCCCCAGGAGCAGGGAAGGACAAGUUGGAAGACUGGCAAGUUCAAUCAUCCAACCAUUGUUUCCAGCUCCAUUUCUUCCUAAUCCUCACUCUAGGACUCUAACCUGCCACGUUUGUGAUGGUUGCUGGUUUUUAAAAUACAAUUUGAUGAAAUUUCCAUCAAUGGGGUACUGGGUAAGUAAGUUAUAAAAUAAGCCAUAUGAUCCAGCAAUUCUACUCCUGGGUAUCUUCCCAGGAGUAAUAAAAGCAUAAGUUCACGCAAAAACUUGAACACACAUGUUCAAAGCAGCAUUAUCUGUAAUAGCAAAAAAUGGAAACAACCCAAAUAUCUAUCAACUGACGAAUGAAUACAUAAAAUGUGGUUUAUCCAUACAAUGGAAUGUUAUUCAACAAUAAACAGGAAUGAAGUACUGAUAUAUGCUAUAACACGGAUGAAACUUGCAAACAUUGUGCUAAAUAAAAGAAGUCAGUCACAAAGGACUACAUAUUGUAGGAUUUCAUUUAUAUGAAAUGCCAAGAAUAGGCAAAUCUACAAAGAUAGAAAGUAGAUUGACUAGCGGGAGGGAUUGGGGGUGAUAACUAAGGGUAUAUAGCAUUUUUGGAGGGGUAAUAAAACUAUUCUAAAAUUGUGGUGCUGGCUGUACACAAUCUGUGAAUAUACAAAAAAAUUGAAUGUAUACUUUAAAUGGAUGAAUUUUAUGGUAUAUGAAUUAUAUUUCAAUAAAACUGUUAAAAAUUAUA